UUGUCGAUAAGAAAAUGGCUUUUCGUCAGUUCAGUAGACUGGACGGCGCGCCUCUUUUUAUUUCCUCUCUCUUGUCAAAAUUUUCUGGCUCUGUUAUCUUUUCAUAUUCCGUCUUGAUGAAAAUCAACGUCAGGCGCGCUCUUUUCUCUUCUUCUUUUGUGUGUGUGUGUGUGUGCAAGCAUUAGCAGCCAUGUGCGAAAAGGAUGAAACAUUCCCCCCUUUUUUUUGUGGUCCUUUUAAAAAAAAAAAACCAUUUCCCUUUGGGCCCUUGGUGAUACGGCGCCGAAACGGUUCCAGCCGCGGCGGCACGAUGACCAGUCAGCCGGAUUCGGUCGAGUGAGAGAGAGGCGUGUCUGUCAUUUCAGACGGCGACGCGCGCGCCUAUCCGACGGCCGUCCGGAACCUCCCCAGAAGCCACCCGGGUCUCGGCAGUCUUCCAUCCGUUCGUCCGUAAAAACACGAGAGGCCGUCUGACCUGUCGACUGUAUUACAUUUACUGUAUUUCAACACUGUAGGAAAGAAACAAACAACACAAAAACGCAUCAAAUAAAAGAAGGGUAUAUAUAGUGUAUAUAUAUACUACAUAGGGAGAGAUGGAUAAAGGAAGAUACACGUUCACGUAUAAGAUUUAUACAUCCAUCUUCUAUACUAGAUGUAUAGAAUAUACCCACACAAGAGUCGUUGUUCUUCCUAUCUGCAUCACACAGCCCCUUUGGGGUGGGGGGGAGGGCAAGAAGAAAAAAAAAAGGGAAGAAGAAGAAGAAGAAGAAGAAAAGGAGAUAACAAAUAAUCAUAAUAAAAUCCGACAAGACAAAUGAAGGGAGAGAGAACAAGGAUUGUCCUGUUUCAAUUUCAGCCGGAAGAGCAGUAAAAACAAAGCCUAAAUAUAUUUCCCAAAAAAAUGAAAAUACCUCCGGUCAUUUACGAUGUGGAGGAAUGUCCAUUUCGUAUACAGUAGGAGUUUUGGCGUGUUUUCUUCUACUUUUCUGCCAGUCCGGGACUUGUCAGUAGAGGACUGGGCGUGCGAGUAUCUCGCACACCCUGCCAACAGAUUUACAGCAAUCGGAUAGAUUUAUGCACAUCCGCCUCUCAACACAUCGCGCCCAUCCACCUCUGCGGCUCCCUAUUUUUCUUUUCCAACAGCAGUUUCUGUUUUUUUUUUUUUUUCUUCUCCCCCCUACAUCGACUUGUAUGUGUAUAUUUAUACACACACACACACACACAGUUUGCAUAUAUACAGCGGACGAGGCUCUUAUAUUGUAACACUUCAUUUGCCCCCCUUUUGUUGUAUGCUUAGCCAUUUGCGCAAUGUUUUUUGGCCGACCCUUGACGCUGAGUUCUCAUCGUGUCGCUUUUGUUUUGUUUUUUUGAAUUUUUACGAGCUGCCAUUUGAAAAACCGCUUCAAGCAGUUGGUCUUCCAGUUUAAACAGCACAGCCAGUUUGGAUCCUUGUGUUUGUUUUGCGUGUCUGUCGAAUCAUCUUCAAGUGUGUAACAAACGCAGAGGCGAUAGGGACGACGCCCAUUGCCGCCGCCGAGUCGCCAAGCCGACCAGAGCGACCCCGAAUGUGUCAUCGGACUGGCAACUGUUGUUAGAUUGAAAACGGAGAGAAUGAAAACGUUUAAAGAAAAACGGACAGAAAA
rnacentral:lncRNA from 1 species